CUACGGAGGGGGUUAGCGUUGUUCGGAAUUACUGGGCGUAAAGCGCACGUAGGCGGACUGGAAAGUUGGGGGUGAAAUCCCGGGGCCCAACCCCGGAACUGCCUCCAAAACUUCCAAUCUAGAGAUCGAGAGAGGUGAGUGGAAUUCCAAGUGUAGAGGUGAAAUUCGUAGAUAUUUGGAGGAACACCAGUGGCGAAGGCGGCUCACUGGCUCGAUACUGACGCUGAGGUGCGAAAGCGUGGGGAGCAAACAGGAUUAGAAACCCCAGUAGUCC
rnacentral:rRNA from 1 species